GCCGGGCGUUGUGGUGGGCACCUGUGGUCCCAGCUACUUGGGAGGCGGAGGCAGGAGACUCGCUAGAGCCCAGGAGUUGGAGGUUGCUGUGAGCUAUAAUGCCACGGCACUCUACCCAGGGGGACAGCUUGAGGCUCUGUCUCAAAAAAAAAAAACAAAAAACAAAAAAAGACUUAACCAUAACCUCACUUUUUAUUUAUUUAUUGAUUGAUUUUGAGACAGAGCCUCAAGCUGUCACCCUGGAUAGAGUGCUGUGGCAUCACAGCUCACAGCAACCUCCAACUCCUGGGCUCAAGCGAGUCUCCUGCCUCUGU
rfam:Otolemur garnettii contig149667, whole genome shotgun sequence.